UACAGAGGUCUCAAGCGUUGUUCGGAUUCAUUGGGCGUAAAGGGUGCGUAGGUGGCGGGGCAAGUCUGGUGUGAAAUCCCGGGGCUCAACCCCGGAACUGCACUGGAUACUGCCUUGCUAGAGCACUGGAGAGGGAACUGGAAUUUACGGUGUAGCAGUGAAAUGCGUAGAUAUCGUAAGGAAGACCAGUGGCGAAGGCGGAUCUCUGGGCCAUUACUGACGCUGAGGCGCGAAAGCGUGGGUAGCAAACGGG
rnacentral:rRNA from 1 species